AUGAACGCUGGCGGCGUGCCUAAUCCAUGCAAGUCGAGCGAACAGACGAGGAGCUUGCUCCUCUGACGUUAGCGGCGGACGGGGGAGUAACACGUGGAUAACCUACCUAUAAGACUGGGAUAACUUCGGGAAACCGGAGCUAAUACCGGAUAAUAUAUUGAACCGCAUGGUUCAAUAGUGAAAGACGGUUUUGCUGUUACUUAUAGAUGGAUCCGCGCCGCAUUAGCUAGUUGGUAAGGUAACGGCUUACCAAGGCAACGAUGCGUAGCCGACCUGAGAGGGUGAUCGGCCACACUGGAACUGAGACACGGUCCAGACUCCUACGGGAGGCAGCAGUAGGGAAUCUUCCGCAAUGGGCGAAAGCCUGACGGAGCAACGCCGCGUGAGUGAUGAAGGUCUUCGGAUCGUAAAACUCUGUUAUUAGGGAAGAACAAAUGUGUAAGUAACUAUGCACGUCUUGACGGUACCUAAUCAGAAAGCCACGGCUAACUACGUG
rnacentral:rRNA from 1 species